rnacentral:sRNA from 29 species
UGUAUCUGAAGUCUGACGAGGAUGAGAACCUCCGGGGGCAAGAGGUUCGACUCGAGCGAAGCGAGAGAACGUUGCGCCAGCAACGGCCCGCAGGGCGAGCCACGCAGUGGCGAGUCAUCCUCUAUCACCGACCA